rnacentral:tRNA from 1 species
UGGUGCCUAGAGCCGGAAUCGAACCGGCACGGUACUAAGUACCACAGGAUUUUAAGUCCUGUGCGUCUACCUAUUCCGCCAUCCAGGC